GGGCCUUGCAAAUAUUACCAUUGUCAGACACAUCUAACAAAAAUAUAUUCUUAUCAUUCCUUUAUCUUUGCUUUUUUUUUCCCCCCUCAAGAUUCCAUCUUGGAAAUUAAAUUAACCGAGCCCAGCUAGCAAGUCAACUCUUANAUCUAACAAAAAUAUAUUCUUAUCAUUCCUUUAUCUUUGCUUUUUUUUUCCCCCUCAAGAUUCCAUCUUGGAAAUUAAAUUAACCGAGCCCAGCUAGCAAGCCAACUCUUGCUGCCAGGCAUUGAGAAGAGGAUCUGGCCCUUGACAGUUUCUAUAGUGGGAAGCAGAACCCUGUUGACCCACAGGACCAUACAAGGCAGACCCAACUGCUUUGAGUUCCUCCAGUGAGUCAUGCAGAUCAAGCCUCCCUACCUUCCACCUGGAUGUAUAAGGAGAUGGAUUUUCAACAACUACUCCACAUCCCACCAUGGUUUGUGAUUACAUUCUAUUAGACGUGAUGAAGCAUCUUCAGAGAAGAGAGCCAUCAUAAUGAAGAAGAAAAUAGAUUGGCCUGCCAGUCUGACUCUGGAAAGAAUAAUUUAUCAGGUGAUCUCAUGUUUGAACACAAAGAUAAGAGUUAAGAACUCUGAAACUUGGUCAGCAUUAAUUUUCUACUGGC
rnacentral:lncRNA from 1 species